GAGAGGGGAACGUUCCCCCCGUUCCCCCCAGGACCUUGAGAAGGGGGACAGCAGAGGUGACAGGCCCGCUAGAACACAGCCAUGGGGCCAACUCCCCCUAUCCCAGUUUGUCCCAGCUCAUCCCAACUGCAAUAAGAGGACGGGACAGGCAGAGAUCUCACUGUGUCCCUCAGCACUGUUCCCCCCCCCAGGCCCCAUAAGGGAGGGGGACACAAAGGCACAUGGUCCUGGGGACAGCAUGGGGACACCUCGGACACCUCCAGAGCUGCUCCUGAGGACCCCAGAGAGGAGGCAGUGGAGUGGGGGGUCGGGGCUCUGGUAUCAGGGACAAUAGGGCCACCCCAGUCCCAGGCCCGUAGGGAUGCUGACAAAAGGGCAGGAGAGGAGCACAGCCACCUCACAGCUCCCAGUACAACCCCCACCCUGUCCCAUCUCUGCCCAUUGCUGACCCACCCCGGGCGGAGCUUUUUACUUUUUUGGGUUGAUUUUUCUUUUUUUAAUGGAUACAAAACAAAAGAGAAAAAGAAAACAAAGCAAGAAAGAAGGUGACAGGACAGAAGGGUGAGAGAACACGUAAGCCUCCGGCGCUCCCUGCAGCAAACCGGGUCCCACAGCUCAGCACCCCAUGGGAGUCCAGCAGGGCUUUAGAUCUUUUUUUUUAGAAAAAAAAAAAAAAAAAAAAAACAAAAAAAAAAAAAAAGAGCUUGAAUCCCACCGGGUGUCAGGGGGCCGUCUGCAGCAUCAAGUUCCUCAGGAGUUUCUGGCGCCCAACCUCGUAAUCCUCCUCGUCCACAUUGACCAGCAGUUUGAUGGCUUCAUGGCCCACGGCUUGCUUGAGCGAGUCCGUGAUGAAGACGCCCUUGAGGGCCUCCAGCAAAGAGCCGUUGAUGUAAUCACGCCAGAACGCGUCGAGGUAGGUGAGCUCUGAGAAUUUUAUGUCACAGAUGAUGGAGCCCAGGUCCCGGGACUUCAGGAUGGUGUUGGCUUGGUUGAAGCGCUCAAACUGGCGCUCCAGUGGGUCCUGCUUGUUGGAGAAGACGUUGCCCUGGAGCGCCGUCUCGUGCUGGCAGUACUCGGCUCGGACUCGCAAGCGGAUGUCUGCAGGGAGCAGGGCACUCAGCGUGCUGUCCCCAUUCUCUUGGGGGUGUCAGGACCCCCUCUGUCCCCCCCCGGCCCCCCACACAUCUUACCGCAUGUCUGCUUCUCCUUGGGGUCUGGAGUCACCGACUUCCUGCGCUUGCGCUGGCUGCUGAGGAGGGCCCUGCCACGGCCGGGCCUCUUGGUGCAGAUCUGCGGCCCCGCCGAGGAGCAGCAGACCAUGGGGUGCUGGGGAGGCACUGCCCAGAGGAUGAACAGGGUGAACCUGGAGGAUGGCCUGACUGAAGCUGCUCUCCAAAAUGGGAAGGGACACCAAAAUCCUUGUUUGGUCAAACCCCGGUCGCUCAAUGUGUCACUUGAGCAGUGCUAAAACUUGCAGUCAGCACCAGGCUGUCCCCAGCCUACAUCACUGGGAUGAGGUGACAGUGACAGGUGGGGAAAGGCACCACUAAUGUGAAGGGACACAAUCACACCAGGGCCAGAUUCUGCUGGGACAGCACUGCAGAGAGCCUGUGUGCGAGCUAUGGGUUGGGGUGGGGGCGCUUCUUGGGCGGGCACAGCCCUUUUGUAAUCAGUGCCACAACUCUCGUGCCAGCUUCUGCUCCAUUAUCAGGGAAACGGGAAUUCAGACACAGAUCCUGGUGCGUUCCCAAGCCCCAGGUCCUCACCUGAUUUGUGGGGGUGGCCGAGGCCGUGUUCCGCAGCGCUGUGAGCCCGUGGCGUCACGUAGCGGAUGGAGGUCUCCUCCAAGUACUUGUCCACCAGGUCCGGGCACACUGCCGCAGAGGGAGCGAGGGUCUCGUUAGGACAGACCCAGAGAGCAGCAGCACAAAGCGCCGCACGCACAGAUCCCCACUGCACACACAUCCCCGAUGACUUCCACUGGUGACUUCCCACAGGUGAUUUCCCCACAGCAUCUUUUUAAGCCCAAGAACCUCACAACCGCUUCCUUUCCAAAACAAAGCAAAACAAACAAAAAAAUAGCACCCCCAAAGUCACAGCCAUGUAGUUCCCAGCCCCAGUAGUGGCACUCGAGGUCUCUCCGGUACCCCACUGCAAAGAGCUGUUCCUCAGAUAUUGGGAAAUAAACUCAUUUCAGAGCUCAGAAA